rnacentral:lncRNA from 1 species
GGCGUGGAGCCCCUGCUCCUGCCCGAGGAAGAGCAUCCGAAGUGGGUGCCAGCAGAGCAGCCUGCAGAGCUCCAUUCCCAACCACUGCGGGAUGGAGGAUGCUGGCGGAGCACCGCGCAGAAGGCACAGGAGGGCGAAGCGUGCACGGAGAGCCCUAGGACAGGCCUGCCCACCCCUUGUCUGACCCACGGACUCAGGGCACAGGUCUGGAAAUGCUUUUGGAGCUGCUGGAAAUGAAGCCGCACCCUGAGAGCAGCAGGCAGCGGGGCUCAGCAGGCAUGGACAUGGCAGAGAGAAGGGGCUGGGCUGCGACCUGCAGAGCCCUGGGGGAGAGGAGAGGGGGUUGCAUAGGAUUUAACAGGGCAAAGACCUCGUGCAAGCUUGUGGUACAGCAAUCAGGUCUUGCUAGUGCUGGUGUCAAGCAGGAAUGGGGGGAAUCCAGCGGCCGUGGCUUGCUCUGGGUUGGCCACGCUGUGUGUGGGGCUCUCUGCUCGUCCCAGGCUGGGGGCUGGCACAGCACGCAGCAGGGCCGCAGGUUCCACUGAGACAUCACUCCAUAAAGGCAAAACUCGGGGAUGGAGGGGAUGGGAACGGGCGCUCAGAAGCCUCCCGGUUCUCCAGGGCCUCCUCUCUGCCUGCUGAGGGGGGCGAGGGCUCUGCUGGCUUCAGCGUGCCCCAGACACAAAGCGCCUUGGAGACAGGCUUCUGCACUCAACCUGAAAUUGCAGACUCCUGGGGAAAUCCCAGCCUGCUUCUGCCCUUCCUGUUCAAGCACAACCUCGAAGAAACCGUCUCACCGCCGCCGCCGCGCCGGCUGCUGGCCCGAGUCACGGCUGGGAAGGUUCCACAUCACAAUUCUGCAUUUCUCAGCCACAGAGGGCAAAAACCCCCAAUGCCAAGCAGACAGAGCCCGAACCCCGAGCGAUGGGACGGCAGAGCACGAUCCUGCACCGCCCCAGCUCCUGCAGAGCGGCUGCAUCCCCUGCUCCCAGCCCCGAGGUGCGCAGGAUGUGACCCAGCUCCUGCCCCACAGUGCAGCACUGCAGGACACCAGAGAGACACGAGCAGGGGCACAGCAAUGCCACGUCCCCACUGCGCUGCCCUGUGCAGAACGGAGGCACCAAAACCUCCCCAAGCUCCGGCACAGCGCGGUUUGUGCUCAAGGGCCUUUGUCCGUGCCCUGCCAAGAAGCUCGCCAGUUUUGCUCACGAGAAAU